GGGAGUAUGGCACUAAUUGGUAGCGCGGCUGAUUCCAAAUCAGUAGGUUGGGGGUUCGAAUCCCUCUGCUCCCGCCA
rnacentral:tRNA from 1 species